rnacentral:rRNA from 1 species
AACGAACGCUGGCGGCAUGCCUAACACAUGCAAGUCGAACGAGAACUUCGGGUCUAGUGGCGCACGGGUGCGUAACGCGUGGGAACCUGCACUUAGGUUCGGAAUAACUCCCCGAAAGGGGUGCUAAUACCGGAUAAUGUCUUCGGACCAAAGAUUUAUCGCCUUUGGAUGGGCCCGCGUUGGAUUAGCUAGUUGGUAGGGUAAAAGCCUACCAAUGCGACGAUCCAUAGCUGGUCUGAGAGGAUGAUCAGCCACACUGGGACUGAGACACGGCCCAGACUCCUACGGGAGGCAGCAGUGGGGAAUAUUGGACAAUGGGCGAAAGCCUGAUCCAGCAAUGCCGCGUGAGUGAUGAAGGCCUUAGGGUUGUAAAGCUCUUUUACCCGGGAUGAUAAUGACAGUACCGGGAGAAUAAGCUCCGGCUAACUCCGUG